GAGAGAGAGAGAGAGAGAGAGAGAGAGAGAGAGAGAGAGAGAGAGAGAGAGAGAGAGAGAGAGGCCCCCUGGAUUUCAGGAGUCUAGAAAUCUGUGUAGAGAAAUAAGGCAAAACACAGCAGGUGUUGCCAGUUGGAACCCUCUCUGCUUUAUUCACGCCUCAUCGCCAGACGGCUGGUUCCCAGGAGGUGGCUCAAUCUCACAAGGUUCAGAUGUAACAGGAAACAAAUAACUAAUUGUGCUGUACCUCAGCUUGGAUUCAUUCUGGGUGCGGACAAGUAUCUGUGUCUCCAGAGACUGCAGUGAAGUGGAAACCGUGGAUUAGCCAGCUUGGUGAUCUGAAUUGAGUGGAAUAAUUGAAUGAUUGCCAAAUCUUUGGGUAACUAGACGUACUGUGUGAGCCAGGACAGUCCUGAGCAAUCUCGGCCAUUGUCAAGCAUGGCCUCCCCUUGAAAGAUAUGGAUUUGGAUACAUCCCCUUUUUCAUUGGUUUCAACUCUGAGGACAAUCUACGCAGUUCACAAAGUCUCCCAUUCAUUGCUUUUCUUUCUGAAAAUGAUUUUCAAGGAGGAUGCUUGUUGCUGAGUCAUUGGAUGUCUGAGAUAUCCUUCUGUUAUUUCACAAUUUAAAGACAACUAGGCUGGGUAUAAAAGCAGCAACUUGCAACUUUGAUUCUCAAAACUUUGCAUACAAUACAUCACUUUCUUCUAAAUUAAGCCUUUAGAGUAAAAGCCAGAGAACAGCCAGAUUUUCGUUAUAUUUUUAGGUACUCUGUUUCUUUUGCUUAAAUACUUAUAAAAGAUUUUUCUUUUGGUUGUGAAUUAAAACUGUUGCCAGGAUA